rnacentral:rRNA from 1 species
CAGCAGUGGGGAAUAUUGCACAAUGGGGGAAACCCUGAUGCAGCGACGCCGCGUGAGUGAAGAAGUAUUUCGGUAUGUAAAGCUCUAUCAGCAGGGAAGAAGAAAGACGGUACCUGACUAAGAAGCCCCGGCUAACUACGUGCCAGCAGCCGCGGUAAUACGUAGGGGGCAAGCGUUAUCCGGAUUUACUGGGUGUAAAGGGAGCGUAGACGGCUGUGCAAGUCUGAAGUGAAAGCCCAGGGCUCAACCCUGGGACUGCUUUGGAAACUGUGGAGCUAGAGUGCUGGAGAGGUAAGUGGAAUUCCUAGUGUAGCGGUGAAAUGCGUAGAUAUUAGGAGGAACACCAGUGGCGAAGGCGGCUUACUGGACAGUAACUGACGUUGAGGCUCGAAAGCGUGGGGAGCAAACAGGAUUAGA